rnacentral:rRNA from 1 species
GUGGGGAAUAUUGGACAAUGGGCGAAAGCCUGAUCCAGCCAUGCCGCGUGUGUGAAGAAGGUCUUCGGAUUGUAAAGCACUUUAAGUUGGGAGGAAGGGCAGUAAGUUAAUACCUUGCUGUUUUGACGUUACCAACAGAAUAAGCACCGGCUAACUUCGUGCCAGCAGCCGCGGUAAUACGAAGGGUGCAAGCGUUAAUCGGAAUUACUGGGCGUAAAGCGCGCGUAGGUGGUUCAGCAAGUUGGAGGUGAAAUCCCCGGGCUCAACCUGGGAACUGCCUCCAAAACUACUGAGCUAGAGUACGGUAGAGGGUAGUGGAAUUUCCUGUGUAGCGGUGAAAUGCGUAGAUAUAGGAAGGAACACCAGUGGCGAAGGCGACUACCUGGACUGAUACUGACACUGAGGUGCGAAAGCGUGGGGAGCAAACAGGAUUAGAUACUGGUAGUCC